rnacentral:rRNA from 1 species
GAUGAACGCUAGCUACAGGCUUAACACAUGCAAGUCGAGGGGUAACGAGAGGGAAGCUUGCUUUCCUUGUCGACGACCGGCGCACGGGUGAGUAACGCGUAUCCAACCUGCCCCCAACUAGGGAAUAACCUUGCGAAAGUAAGACUAAUACCCUAUAAUUUCCUCAGAUGUCAUCUGACGAGGAAUAAAGAUUUAUCGGUUGUGGAUGGGGAUGCGUCUGAUGAGCUUGUUGGCGGGGUAACGGCCCACCAAGGCAACGAUCAGUAGGGGUUCUGAGAGGAAGGUCCCCCACAUUGGAACUGAGACACGGUCCAAACUCCUACGGGAGGCAGCAGUGAGGAAUAUUGGUCAAUGGGCGUAAGCCUGAACCAGCCAAGUAGCGUGCAGGAUGACGGCCCUAUGGGUUGUAAACUGCUUUUAUAAAGGAAUAAAGUUAGCCACGUGUGGUUAUUUGUAGGUACUGUAUGAAUAAGGACCGGCUAAUUCCGUGCCAGCAGCCGCCGUAA